rnacentral:rRNA from 1 species
AUUUUUACUUGUCCCGUUGCUAGAGUGAUGUGGAGAACAGUGGGCUGUGUGCUGGGCACGGAUCUUUGCCCUAACAACAUUUGACAAUAUUUCGCGUGGUGUUACACCUUCCUUCCUGAUGGGGAGAGAUUUUAUACCUUUGGCCUAGCUGCUCUAUGCUGGGCGACGUGGAAUAGUCCUAAUAAGAAAACCUUUGAAUUCAAAAAAAUGAGAUCUCCCUUUGAUGUGGUAUAUUCUGCAUAUGGCUUUCUUACCUAUUGGGCAGGAAUGCUGAUGGGCGAUGAUCGGGACGCAAUGGAGCGAGGAUCUAAGAUGCUAAGGAUCAACGUCUGAAACAUGAUGAGGAUCUGCGCGGCGCCAUGUGAUCCGAUGCAGAGCUGA